rnacentral:rRNA from 1 species
ACACGUAGGGGGCAAGCGUUAUCCGGAUUCAUUGGGCGUAAAGAGCGCGUAGGCGGCCUGCCAAGUCAGGUGUGAAAACCGUGGGCUCAACCCGCGGACUGCACUUGAAACUGGCAGGCUGGAGUCCAGUAGAGGGAGAUGGAAUUCCCGGUGUAGCGGUGAAAUGCGCAGAUAUCGGGAAGAACACCAGUGGCGAAGGCGGUCUCCUGGGCUGCGACUGACGCUGAGGCGCGAAAGCUAGGGGAGCGAACAGGAUUAGAUACCCCAGUAGUCC